UGCUCAGAAUGCAACCCGGCAUGUUUCCGUACUCGUGGAGGCCUAUCUCGAUCCAAUCGGAAGGGUGGGCUUCGAGGCGAUGAAGCUCGCGAGCAAUAUCGAGGCCACGCUUCUCUAGUUCCAUUCUUCUUUUCCUAAUCUCAAUUUUCUCACCUUCGAGCUCGUUGUGCCGAGUGAUAAGCUGAAGAAAAUAAAACGCUUCGUUUAGCAACAAUUAAAGGAGUCAAAUCACUAGGUUGAACAAUACCUUGUUAAUAAACUCUUCAGCCUUGACAUGAUCUGGAGCUGAUAAUCUCUCGAUUAACACGAUCGGAACCUGAAUGCUGGUUCCCCACCCUAAUGUACGUGACUCUUCUGGUUCGCCAGUUCCUUCCAUUUUUACAAGCUCGAUGUCUGACGUUCCCAGAAGAUCGUCGCUUAUCAUUUUGAAUGAGUCGGAGGGCUUCUAUGAAAAAUUACCUUUCUCCAACAUUUUUGUAGAAUUAUUGUUGAGUCAAAUCACUAGGUUGAACAAUACCUAGUUAAUAAACUCUUCAGCCUUGACACGAGCUUUAGCUGAUAAUCUCUCGAUUAACACGAUCGGAACCUGAAUGCUGGUUCCCCACCCUAAUGUACGUGACUCUUCUGGUUCGCCAGUU
rnacentral:lncRNA from 1 species